ACUCCUACGGGAGGCAGCAGUGGGGAAUUUUGGACAAUGGGCGAAAGCCUGAUCCAGCCAUGCCGCGUGCAGGAUGAAGGCCUUCGGGUUGUAAACUGCUUUUGUACGGAACGAAACGGCCUUUUCUAAUAAAGAGGGCUAAUGACGGUACCGUAAGAAUAAGCACCGGCUAACUACGUGCCAGCAGCCGCGGUAAUACGUAGGGUGCAAGCGUUGAUCGGAAUUACUGGGCGUAAAGCGUGCGCAGGCGGUUAUGUAAGACAGUUGUGAAAUCCCCGGGCUCAACCUGGGAACUGCAUCUGUGACUGCAUAGCUAGAGUACGGUAGAGGGGGAUGGAAUUCCGCGUGUAGCAGUGAAAUGCGUAGAUAUGCGGAGGAACACCGAUUGCGAAGGCAAUCCCCUGGACCUGUACUGACGCUCAUGCACGAAAGCGUGGGGAGCAAACAGGAUUAGAUACCCGAGUAGUCCCA
rnacentral:rRNA from 1 species